rnacentral:rRNA from 1 species
UGAGGAAUAUUGGUCAAUGGGCGAGAGCCUGAACCAGCCAAGCCGCGUGAGGGAGGAAGGCCCUAUGGGUCGUAAACCUCUUUUGUCAGGGAACAAAAGCGAGUAUGUACACUAGUCUGAGUGUACCUGAAGAAAAAGCAUCGGCUAACUCCGUGCCAGCAGCCGCGGUAAUACGGAGGAUGCGAGCGUUAUCCGGAUUUAUUGGGUUUAAAGGGUGCGUAGGCGGCGGUGCAAGUCAGCGGUAAAAGCCCGGGGCUCAACCCCGGCGAGCCGUUGAAACUGCAGUGCUAGAGAAGGCGAGAGGUACGCGGAAUGCGCAGUGUAGCGGUGAAAUGCUUAGAUAUUGCGCAGAACUCCGAUUGCGAAGGCAGCGUACUGGCGCCUGACUGACGCUGAGGCACGAAAGCGUGGGGAUCGAACAGGAUUAGAUACC